GUGCUCACUUUGGCAGCACAUAUGCUAAAAUUAGAAUGUUACAGAGAAGAUUAGCAUGCCCCCUGCGCAAGGAUGANGUGGAGAUUCGUGAAGUAUUCCAUAUUUUU
rnacentral:snRNA from 1 species